rnacentral:rRNA from 1 species
UACAGAGGGUGCAAGCGUUGUUCGGAAUUAUUGGGCGUAAAGGGCGCGUAUGGCGGUGCGGUAAGUCUGCAGUGAAAUCUCUGGGACCUGCAAUCAGAGUCGUGCUGUGGAAACUGCCGUGCUUGAGUGAUGGGAGAGGUGAGUGGAAUUCCCGGUGUAGCGGUGAAAUGCGUAGAUAGUCGGGAGGAACACCUGUGGCGAAAGCGGCUCACUGGACCACAACUGACGCUGAGGCGCGAAAGCUAGGGGAGCAAACAGG